rnacentral:lncRNA from 1 species
AUGGCGCGCGCAUCCUCCAGACCUGCCCAGGCCGGAGGGAGGCGGGGGAGGGGAAGCCGACGCAGUUCCCGCACGGGGGGAAAGGGGCCGCCGAAGGCGACCUGCCUGUCACCCGCCGGCGCCGCGGGGGACACGCGAGGCAGCCCUGGAUGGCGGCCCCGACCGCCGGGCGUCCCCUGCUGCAGCCCGCAGCCCGCCCGGCGCGCCCCCGCCCCGGCCCCGGAGGGGCAGGUACCUCGGAGCCCCGGCCCCCGGGAACUUCGCGGCCGCGGACCUCGCGGCCGCGGUCGGAGCGUCCCUGCGGCUCCCUCACCCUUACGUCAGCGUCCGCAGAAGGCCGGGGAAGGGGGCGGGGGAGCGCAGGAGCCGGCCCUUCCUGCGGCGGCCGCCGGCAGCCGGAAUCGCAGCCGGAGCAGUCGCAUUUGUCACCGGGAAAGAACCAACCCCUUUUUUUUCCUGGACUACCUGCAGUGCACGGACCACGGGAGCAAACGGCGUUGGAAUAGGUGCCUCCUAAUACUACCUGAGCUGAUGAACACACUGCCCAGAGUGCCACCAGGAGACUGCCGAACGCUGGGGUUUAAAGCCAUGGUUGUCUGA